rnacentral:rRNA from 1 species
GACGAACGCUGGCGGCGUGCCUAACACAUGCAAGUCGAGCGAUGAAGCCCUUCGGGGCUGAUUAGCGGCGGACGGGUGAGUAACACGUGGGUAACCUGCCUCAUAGAGGGGGAUAGCCUCCCGAAAGGGAGAUUAAUACCGCAUAAUGUAUUUUGGCUGCAUGGCUGAAAUAUCAAAGGAGUAAUCCGCUAUGAGAUGGACCCGCGGCGCAUUAGCUAGUUGGUGAGGUAACGGCUCACCAAGGCGACGAUGCGUAGCCGACCUGAGAGGGUGAUCGGCCACAUUGGAACUGAGACACGGUCCAGACUCCUACGGGAGGCAGCAGUGGGGAAUAUUGCGCAAUGGGGGAAACCCUGACGCAGCAACGCCGCGUGAAUGAUGAAGGCCUUAGGGUUGUAAAGUUCUGUCUUCUGGGACGAUAAUGACGGUACCAGAGGAGGAAGCCACGGCUAACUACGUGCCAGCCGCCGCCGUAACAC